GUUUUCCAGACUGUUGCGACAAAAUUCUUCCAGCUUCUUGAUGGAAGACAUGUACCGAAACCCUGGGCCACUUCAGUUUGAAGGACUGGGUGCUGAGACAAAGCCUAUUUCACUGUGUGUUGAAGAUCGAGACUACAUGGGAAGAAUCAAACAAUUGCAGGAGUACUUGGAGAAGGUGAAAAGCAUUGUGAAGCCUGGGUGUUCACAGGAUGUCCUCAAAGCAGCGCUAAGCGCCAUGGCUUCUGUGACGGAGAUGCUGGCAAUCAUGUCUUCCCCGUCUUUCAGUGGCCAGGCAACCAUCUGAAGGCCAUGCGAAAGACUGUAUCGUCUGAAUGCUGAUCUCGUGUUCUCGGUCUAGGCAUAUUUUGGCUUCUGUCUGUAUCAUCCGUCUAUCUGAAACCACCGUCUUGAUAGGUCCUCUGCUCAAUAUCUGCUUUGUUUUUUGGGUGUUUUUCAUCUAGACAUAUUUUGUUUCUGAUUAUAGAUGAUGAGCAAUUUCGAGAAUGUUGAUUGAGAUGAGUGGGAACAGGAAUAAUGCUUGCAGUAAGGAAGCAAGAUAUAAGUUUCACCCAAA